CCUUUUUGUGGUUUGGGGCUUUUGAGAUGAUGACAGAAAAGCCCUUACCUCAAAAGGGAU
rnacentral:pre_miRNA from 1 species